rnacentral:rRNA from 1 species
AGCAUUUUAAUAAGCGGAGGAAAAGAAAUUAACUAAGAUUCCCUUAGUAACGGCGAGUGAAGCGGGAGUUAGCCCAGCGCUGAAUCCCCUCGGGGACCUGUGGCGUAUGGAACCGAUACUCUUCGUAUGUGUUUGUCUGUGACCAGUUACAUGGAAUUUUCUUAACUCCGCUGAGGGUGAGAGACCUGUGUCGACGUGGAUGGCAUUGCGAUUUGGUAUUGGUUCCGAGAGUAGGUUUGCUUGAGAUUGCAAACUGAAGACCGGUGGUAAUUUCCAUCGAAGGCUAAAUACUUCCACGAGUCCGAUAUUUGACAAGUACCGCAAGGGAAAGUUGAAAAGCACUUUGAAGAGAGAGUGAAACAGACGUGAAACUGCAUGUAGGUAAACGAGUGACGACACAGUGUGAAGGAUUUGGUUGCCUAAUCGCCGUCGCACCUUGAAGCGGUCCGUGUUGUAGUUGCAUGAGCGUUUGAUUGUGUGUUGUAUAAUGUGUCCGUUACUCGACCCG